ensembl:lncRNA
CAUCAAUCCUCCCCUCAAUACGAUGCAGUCGUCCUGUCCCCUUUGCAGAAAAGCAUCCCCAAAGAAUGAUGUUUCCACCUCCAUGCUUCAUGACCACAUGACCUUCUCCCAUUCCUUCUCUGGAUCAUCCAGAUGGUCAUUGGCAAACUUCAGACGGGCCUGGACAUGCGUUGGCUUGAGCAGGGGGACCUUACAUGCGCUGCAGGAUUUUAAUCCAUGAGGGCGUAGUGUGUUAUUAAUGGUUUUCUUUGAGACUGUGAUCCCAGCUCUCUUUAGGUCAUUGACCAGGUCCUGCCGUGUAGUUCUGGGCUGAUCCCUCACCUUCCUCCUGAUCAUUGAUGCCCCACGAGGUGAAAUCUUGCAUGGAGCCCAUCAACAACAUCCUAAUACACCAGGGCCAUGCUUUGCUGGGCUCCCCCUCUGCUCUGUCCCAUGUCCUGGUGGAUGGGUGCGCCGUGUAUCCCAACUGUGAGGUGUGUGCC